UGGGGGAUAGUCUAGCGGUAGGACAUCCGGCUCUGGACCGGGUAGGGAAGGUUCGAAUCCUUCUCCCCCAGCCA
rnacentral:tRNA from 1 species